rnacentral:rRNA from 1 species
UCGAGCGAGUCUGCCUUGAAGAUCGGAGUGCUUGCACUCUGUGAAACAAGAUACAGGCUAGCGGCGGACGGGUGAGUAACACGUGGGUAACCUGCCCAAGAGAUCGGGAUAACACCUGGAAACAGAUGCUAAUACCGGAUAACAACAGAUGAUGCCUAUCAACUGUUUAAAAGAUGGUUCUGCUAUCACUCUUGGAUGGACCUGCGGUGCAUUAGCUAGUUGGUAGGGUAACGGCCUACCAAGGCGAUGAUGCAUAGCCGAGUUGAGAGACUGAUCGGCCACAUUGGGACUGAGACACGGCCCAAACUCCUACGGGAGGCAGCAGUAGGGAAUCUUCCACAAUGGACGCAAGUCUGAUGGAGCAACGCCGCGUGAGUGAAGAAGGGUUUCGGCUCGUAAAGCUCUGUUGUUGGUGAAGAAGGACAGGGGUAGUAACUGACCUUUGUUUGACGGUAAUCAAUUAGAAAGUCACGGCUAACUACGUG